rnacentral:piRNA from 1 species
UUCUAAGAUGAAGACCGCGCUGGGUCAGGC